GCCGCGGUAGCUCAGUUGGUUAGAGCAUCGCACGCGUAAUGCGAAGACGUGGGAUCGUUCUCCACCUGUGGCA
rnacentral:tRNA from 1 species